rnacentral:lncRNA from 1 species
CGUAUAACAUUUUGCUCCACUGAUGGUUGUUUUUAGAAGUUGUUGUUUAAGACAAAGACUCUGCUCAAGCAUGGUGGAUCUGUUAUGACAGUCAAACUUAAUGAAGUCCUUUGGCCUCAUCACUUAUUAUGAGUUCUACUCUUUGGUGAUAUUAUCACUCCUAAACUGCUUGUGUGUGACCUAUGGACAGAAUGCAAGCAUUCUUGACCUGGAUAUUGUCAUCUUUACAGGUUUUGGAAACUGGAAAAACCCUUCAGGAGCCCCGGACACAAGGUCCGAGAAGGAUGAACAGUAACUUUGUCUUGAAGCUGGCCUCUCCCGUGUGGUGUGGCUGUCCUUGAACCCUUCUCACCAAAGGCCUCUGGAAGAGAAAUGGCCGAGUCCACACAAAGGUGUCAAGUGGCUCCAGCUGCAAGGAGAGGAGAAAUACAGUGGCUGGGAACCAGGCACUUGAUGAAAUAGGUCCCUGCAGUAUUGAUUUUGAAUCUCUUUCACCAGUUAGCCAUUUUGAUUGAGGGUAUUGUCUGACACUGGGAUAGAAGGAAGUCAAAACUUGCCUUGAAUUUUAUUCCUCAGAUUCCCAGGGAGGGGGAAAAAUACCUUCACAUAGGUAAUAUAAAAAUAGCUAUGUUCCAAGGGAAUCUGAAAGAAAUAUUCAGAGAUUGCUGAAAACCAUAUAAUUUUGUAGUUGUACAAGCAGAGAUGACUUUUCUUCUUUAUUCAUUUUAAGAACAGUUUAAAUUGGUUUGUACAUAAUAAAAAUUUAGCCUUUCAUCA